rnacentral:rRNA from 1 species
AAUCAACGCUGGCGGCGUGCCUCAGACAUGCAAGUCGAACGAGAAAGUCCCCUUCGGGGGGUGAGUAAAGUGGCGCACGGGUGAGUAACACGUAGGUAAUCUACCUUCGGGUGGGGAAUAACCCAGGGAAACUUGGGCUAACACCGCAUAAUGCAGCGGCACCACAUGGUGACAGUUGUUAAAGCGGGGGAUUUUAGGACCUCGCGCCUGAAGAGGAGCCUGCGGCGGAUUAGCUAGUUGGUAGGGUAACGGCUUACCAAGGCGACGAUCCGUAACCGGCCUGAGAGGGCGGUCGGUCACACUGACACUGACAUACGGGUCAGACUCCUACGGGAGGCAGCAGUCGGGAAUUUUGGGCAAUGGGCGAAAGCCUGACCCAGCAACGCCGCGUGAAGGAUGAAAUCCCUCGGGAUGUAAACUUCGCAAGAAUAGGAAGAAUU